UGCCUUAGUACGGCGAGUGAGCGGCAAAAGCUCAAAUUUGAAAUCUGGUACCUUCGGUGCCCGAGUUGUAAUUUGGAGAGGGCAACUUUGGGGCCGUUCCUUGUCUAUGUUCCUUGGAACAGGACGUCAUAGAGGGUGAGAAUCCCGUGUGGCGAGGAGUGCGGUUCUUUGUAAAGUGCCUUCGAAGAGUCGAGUUGUUUGGGAAUGCAGCUCUAAGUGGGUGGUAAAUUCCAUCUAAAGCUAAAUAUUGGCGAGAGACCGAUAGCGAACAAGUACAGUGAUGGAAAGAUGAAAAGAACUUUGAAAAGAGAGUGAAAAAGUACGUGAAAUUGUUGAAAGGGAAGGGCAUUUGAUCAGACAUGGUGUUUUGUGCCCUCUGCUCCUUGUGGGUAGGGGAAUCUCGCAUUUCACUGGGCCAGCAUCAGUUUUGGUGGCAGGAUAAAUCCAUAGGAAUGUAGCUUGCCUCGGUAAGUAUUAUAGCCUGUGGGAAUACUGCCAGCUGGGACUGAGGACUGCGACGUAAGUCAAGGAUGCUGGCAUAAUGGUUAUAUGCCGCCCGUCUUGA
rnacentral:rRNA from 1 species